rnacentral:rRNA from 1 species
ACGUGCCAUGUCGUGGGGGAUAACGUAGCGAAAGCUACGCUAAUACCGCAUACGUCCUGAGGGAGAAAGCGGGGGAUCUUUGGACCUCGCGCGAUUGGAGCGGCCGAUGUCGGAUUAGCUAGUAGGUGAGGUAAAGGCUCACCUAGGCGACGAUCCGUAGCGGGGUCUGAGAGGAUGAUCCGCCACACUGGGACUGAGACGCGGCCCAGACUCCUACGGGAGGCAGCAGUGGGGAAUUUUGGACAAUGGGGGCAACCCUGAUCCAGCCAUGCCGCGUGAGUGAAGAAGGCCUUCGGGUUGUAAAGCUCUUUCGGCCGGGAAGAAAUCGUGGUCUCUAACAUAGGCCAUGGAUGACGGUACCGGACUAAGAAGCACCGGCUAACUACGUGCCAGCAGCCGCGGUAAUACGUAGGGUGCGAGCGUUAAUCGGAAUUACUGGGCGUAAAGCGUGCGCAGGCGGUUUUGUAAGACAGAUGUGAAAUCCCCGGGCUUAACCUGGGAACUGCGUUUGUGACUGCAAGGCUAGAGUACGGCAGAGGGGGGUGGAAUUCCUGGUGUAGCAGUGAAAUGCGUAGAGAUCAGGAGGAACACCGAUGGCGAAGGCAGCCCCCUGGGCCUGUACUGACGCUCAUGCACGAAAGCGUGGGGAGCAAACAGGAUUAGAUACCCUGGUAGUCCACGCCCUAAACGAUGUCGACUAGUCGUUCGGAGCAGCAAUGCACUGAGUGACGCAGCUAACGCGUGAAGUCGACCGCCUGGGGAGUACGGCCGCAAGGUUAAAACUCAAAGGAAUUGACGGGGACCCGCACAAGCGGUGGAUGAUGUGGAUUAAUUCGAUGCAACGCGAAAAACCUUACCUACCCUUGACAUGUC